rnacentral:lncRNA from 1 species
GAUCAAAGGAUUAAAAAUCAAGGUCUUGGAUGAGAAAGAAGCUAUGAUCGGAAGAUACAAGAUGUUAGAUCACGAGCCAGCUGUUCCGGAUGAGCAUCGAUUACAAAGACUUGCUCAUGCAAUUGCUGAUAUGCCAUUAUCAGGCCUAAAUAGUCUCCAUUUUAAAUUGAUAGCCAAGAAGGAAGAACUCUUAUAUUCUAAUAUAACCGUUGAUCUCCUCUUUUCGGAAAGUAAUUAAAAUGCUUCAGGAAGGCUCAAUUAGUUGUAGAAUAAAACUAAAUGCAAAUUUGAUGACCUGACUUUCCACACAAUACAAAAUAAACAUUUUCUAAACGUAGACCGCUUACAUCCCACACACUUAUUUUGUUAUUUUGAGAUAGGGGCGUUUCGCUCAGUCCUGUAACCAGGCCAUUGACACUGGAAUAUACAACGGUGGUCUAAAAAGGUUCAAAACUGUUAAAAUAGGAGCAUUCGGAAUUAAAGGACUCAAAGGAAACAGCGGACCGACAAAAACUUAACGACAACAACAAAAAUAUAAGAGAAAGAAAUAAAGUCUUCAUCUACAGCUAUUGGACCGAUCGAUACAUAAUUGUUAUUUUCUCAUGAUUCAUAUUUUAAAAUGUUUAUUUUUUAUUAUUAUAAAUAGUUGUUAAUACUUUGUUUUAUGAUCUCAAUUAAAGAAUGUAAUUAGAAUUUUAUUUUUUUAAAUUAAUAUAAAGUUCAAAAAGAA